GAAGCAAGCCAGACCGCCGCUGGCGCGAUCCGGGAAACCGGGCGCUGGAGGAAGGUCCGGACUGCACAGGGCAGCGUAGGAGCUAACGACUCUCCACCGUGAGGUGAGGAUCAGAGCAACAGAGACGAGUCCGGCUUCGGCCGGGGUGAAACGGGCAAUCUCUACGCGCAGCAACACCCAAUAGGCCGGCAUUGAGGCGGCCCGCGGAGCCGGCGGGUAGGUGGCACCGAGCCAGCAGGCGACUGCUGGCCCAGAGGAAUGGCGGUCACGCCGCCUUGGCCGCAAGGCCGGGGCGGCGCACAGAAUCCGGCCUAUCGGCUUGCUUCACAC
rnacentral:RNase_P_RNA from 1 species